rnacentral:rRNA from 1 species
CCUACGGGUGGCAGCAGUAAGGAAUAUUGGUCAAUGGACGAAAGUCUGAACCAGCCAUCCCGCGUGCAGGAUGAAAGCCCUAUGGGUUGUAAACUGCUUUUAGCAGAGAAGAAAAGCUUUCAUUAAUGAGAGUCUGACGGUAUCUGCAGAAUAAGCACCGGCUAACCCCGUUCCAGCAGCCGCGGUAAUACGGAGGGUGCGGGAGUUACCCGGAAUUACUGGGUUGAAGGGGUGCGAUUAAGGAGGUUGUGAAAUCUUGUCGCUUAACGAUAAAAUUGCCAAUGAUACUGGUACUCUUGAAUUGGGUUGAGGUUAGCGGAAUGUGACAUGUAGCGGUGAAAUGCAUAGAUAUGUCAUGGAACACCAAUUGCGAAGGCAGCUAACUGGGCCUUGAUUGACGCUGAGGCACGAAAGCGUGGGUAGCGAACAGGAUUAGAUACCCUGGUAGUC